rnacentral:rRNA from 1 species
GACGAACGCUGGCGGCGUGCCUAAUACAUGCAAGUCGAGCGAAAAGAUGAGGAUCUUGCUCCUCGGACGUUAGCGGCGGACGGGAGAGUAACACGUGGAUACCCUACCUAUAAGACUGGGAUAACUUCGGGAAACCGGAGCUAAUACCGAAUAAUAUCUUGAUCCGCAUGGUUGAAUAGUAAAAGACGGUUUUGCUGUAACUUAUAGAUGGAUCCGCGCCGCAUUAGCUAGUUGGUAAGAUAACGGCUUACCAAGGCGACGAUGCGUAGCCGACCUGAGAGGGUGAUCGGCCACACUGGAACUGAGACACGGUCCAGACUCCUACGGGAGGCAGCAGUAGGGAAUCUUCCGCAAUGGGCGAAAGCCUGACGGAGCAACGCCGCGUGAGUGAUGAAGGUCUUCGGAUCGUAAAACUCUGUUAUUAGGGAAGAACAAAUGUGUAAGUAACUAUGCACGUCUUGACGGUACCUAAUCAGAAAGCCACGGCUAACUACGUG